rnacentral:rRNA from 1 species
CGGACGGGUGAGUAACACGUGGAUAACCUACCUAUAAGACUGGGAUAACUCCGGGAAACCGGGGCUAAUACCGGAUAAUAUUUUGAACCGCAUGGUUCGAAAUUGAAAGGCGGCUUCGGCUGUCACUUAUGGAUGGACCCGCGUCGCAUUAGCUAGUUGGUGAGGUAACGGCUCACCAAGGCAACGAUGCGUAGCCGACCUGAGAGGGUGAUCGGCCACACUGGGACUGAGACACGGCCCAG